rnacentral:rRNA from 1 species
UACGGAGGGUGCAAGCGUUAUCCGGAUUCACUGGGUUUAAAGGGCGCGUAGGCGGGCAGGUAAGUCAGUGGUGAAAUCUCCGAGCUUAACUUGGAAACUGCCGUUGAUACUAUCUGUCUUGAAUAUUGUGGAGGUGAGCGGAAUAUGUCAUGUAGCGGUGAAAUGCUUAGAUAUGACAUAGAACACCAAUUGCGAAGGCAGCUCGCUACACAUAUAUUGACUCUGAGGCACGAAAGCGUGGGGAUCAAACAGG